GACGAACGCUGGCGGCGUGCCUAAUACAUGCAAGUAGGACGCAGUUGCGAACGGGUGAGUAACGCGUAGGUAACUACCUAUUAGAGGGGGAUAACUAUUGGUAACGAUAGCUAAUACCGCAUACUAGUAGAUGGACCUGCGUUGUAUUAGCUAGUAGGUGGGGUAAUGGCCUACCUAGGCAACGAUACGUAGGCGACCGGAUAGGGGUGUUGGCCAGCCCGGGACUGAGACACGGCCCAGACGCCUACGGGAGGCAGCAGGAGGGAAACUGCGGGAAUGGGGGGAACCCUUACCGAGAAACGCCGCGUGAGUGUAGAAGGUUGUCGGGUCGUAAAGCUCGGUUGUUAAGGAAGCGGUACUUAACCAGAAAGCGACGACUAACUACGUGCCAGCAGCCGCGGUAAUAC
rnacentral:rRNA from 1 species